GGGGGCUUUUGGCAACCACAAGGAGGCAUUAAAAAUUACAAAUAUGACAUUCUAGUUCAGAAGUUGCCUUAAAAUAACUGUGGCAGAAUAAGCCACAAAACCAAAACAGUUUAAUUCCAAGAAUUGAUAACAUAGUCAUGCAAGAAAUCAACUUACUUCAAAUUACACAUAUUAGUACAUGUAUAGCUCAUAUUUGUGCAAAGCAGGUUAAUUCUUUAUUUUUGUCCUUUCAAAAAACCAAAAUACUUAAACUUUGAAAAAUUGAAUAUAAUUCUUCUUUUUAUUUUCAGCCUGAAACUCAUGCUUUAGAAAAAUUGAAACAAUCGAAUGAAAAUAGCAGACACAAGAAAGAAUCAAAAAGAAUAUCAUCAGGGUUUUAUCUCACAGUUCAAAGAACAGAACUAUAAAACCAAACCUCAGCACCGGUCUUAGCAGCA
rnacentral:misc_RNA from 1 species